UAAUACAGGAUAACUCCAGGUCUACAUAUC
rnacentral:piRNA from 1 species